AACGAACGCUGGCGGCGUGCUUAACACAUGCAAGUCGAACGGAAAGGCCUGCUUUCCCUUGUGGAUUGCGGGUACUCGAGUGGCGAACGGGUGAGUAACACGUGAGUGAUCUGCCCCCAACUUGGGUAUAAGCCUGGGAAACUGGGUCUAAUUCCCGAUAGGACUGCAGGGUGGUGCCUGUGGUGGAAAACGAUUUUCUAGUGGUUGGGGAUGAGCUCGCGGCCUAUCAGCUUGUUGGUGGGGUAAUGGCCUACCAAGGCGGCGACGGGUAGCCGGCCUGAGAGGGGGGACGGCCACAUUGGGACUGAGAGACGGCCCAGACUCCUACGGGAGGCAGCAGUGGGGAAUAUUGCACAAUGGGCGGAAGCCUGAUGCAGCGACGCCGCGUGGGGGAUGACGGCCUUCGGGUUGUAAACUCCUUUCGACCGCGAGGAAGCCACCUGGUUGGAAGGGUGGUGACGGUAGUGGUAGAAGAAGCACCGGCUAACUACGUG
rnacentral:rRNA from 1 species